rnacentral:rRNA from 1 species
AACGAACGUUAGCGGCGCGCUUAACACAUGCAAGUCGAACGUGAAAGUCCCUUCGGGGGCGAGUAAAGUGGCGCACGGGUGAGUAACACGUGGGUUAUCUACCUCCUGGUGGGGGAUAACACCUCGAAAGGGGUGCUAAUACCGCAUUCGUCCGCUUCGGCGGGGAAAGGUGGCCUCUACUUGUAAGCUAUCGCCGGGAGAUGAGCUCGCGGCCCAUCAGCUAGUUGGUAGGGUAAUGGCCUACCAAGGCUUAGACGGGUAGCUGGUCUGAGAGGAUGAUCAGCCACACUGGAACUGAGACACGGUCCAGACUCCUACGGGUGGCU